UGAUUAUAUAAGUGUUGAAAUAAAAUUCUCUAAAAAGCACAUAAUUUAUUAUUAAUUGGAAUAAUUAAUGGCGACAUCGGUGAAAUAUAUGAAGCCAAUUAUCUUCGCGUUACUGCUAAUGAUAAUGACAUCUAGUUUGGCAUUAGGUGAGGAGGGGUGCAUUCCGAAAGGGAAAAAAUGCGGAUGGGGACAUUCAAGUACAUGUUGCACAGACUUAUCAUGUGUAAAUCCCAACUUCGAUGAUGUUAGUUAUUGUUGUACCCUUAAAAUUUUGGGUUUAUUCAUUUUGUGUAACCCUUAGAAUUUUGGAUUUAUUCAUUUUGUGUAACAAUUGAAACGAAUAAGGAAUGACCUUAUUAAUUGGGUCAAACUAAGUUACGGGCUUGGUUGUGGUUGUAUUUGUAUUCGUUUAUAUAUAUUCCGUACUAUAAGAGGCCAUCCACGCAAAAAGUUCAAAUUGUUGUUAAAUCUUUUUCAUAUAACUGAAACUUUGAUGA